UAGCCACUGUAGAAAGCAGAUGGCAGCUGGUUUUUAAAAUAUUCUAACCCCACAGGCUUUCUGCCAGCUAAUUAAUUUGGCCUCAUAAAGUUGAAAUACAGGAAAUGUACAAUCAACGUUCUUGAAUUUGUUGAGAUUACACAUUUAAGUGCUAACGGCCUCUUCACCCCAGUAAUAUGCCGCCACAGUUUUGAGCUCAAAUCCAAGGAAAUGGUGGACUUGGGUUAAAAUGUGAUAGAAUUGUGGCAAAAAAUAAAUGAAUGAAUCCUUCAGUGGAAGGUAG